CGCUGCUUCGUUCGAGAUGAGACGGCUAAAGGAUACCCACACGCCUACAUGCUGCAUGUGAUCAAGAAGCUCACCAAAGCAGGAGGAAACCAAACUGAGGACAUCAACAAUGAAAAACGAUCUCACAUCGGACUGAUCUUACCUUUCUCACUCUUCAUUUGCUCUCUUCUCAUUCUUUUAUGCUGUAAGAUGAUGGCAUCACCCAGAGAGGAAACUACAGCUAGCGAGCCCGUACAGGAGAGUGACCGAAAGCAUUCAACUCGUCCUUUUUAUUCUGGAGACGAGAGCUAUGACCUGUCAAACCUGAGUAUGAACGAUUACAGUAAUCCUUCUAAUAAUGAGGAUACUGACUCCGCUGAAACACAGGAACAUGAGGUUUAGAAGUCUCAUGCAUGUAACUGACCGAUGCUUGUCUCACGCAGAAGUACGAAAUAUGAAAACAGCCAUCAUGGGACCACAGAACUGUCUCAACACUGUUACACUCUUUUAUUAAGCACUAAGAAAUUAUUCCUUUUAUUGUUUUAUCUUUGUGUAUCCUCUGCAGGAUCCAGAUUGAUGUUACUUUUCUUUCAAAUAAUAUAUUCUGUGAACUCCUUAAUGAAGUUAUAUUUUAAAGUAUAUUUUUAAACUCUCCAGCUGUGCACUAAAAUUCACUUUAAGAGACAUGAAAAAAAUUACUUUUAAGAUGAAAAUGACAUGAAAUUGCUUUAUAACCAGUAGAUGGCAGCAGAGGAUCACUCAUCAGCUCAGAUGCCAUGUCCACUCCCUAGUUUUUUUGUGUGUGUGUUUUUCAUGUCUUGCUUCUGGAUAUAUUGUAAAAUGACUAUUUUACAAAUUUGAGUACCUUUACUGCACUGAAGUAUAAAGUAUAGCAACUGUAGGAAGUCACAAAGUCUCAUGUCAUUUAAAAAAAAAACAUUCCCAGACACCAACAGCCCAGAAGGGUUAAAUACUUAAGUUAAUUAUUAAUGGUACAAUAAUUAAAUAAUAAUGGAUUAAAUAUUUUUAAAUAUUUUUAACAUUAAGUUUUAUCUUUAACCGUAGAAGCUGCUAAAUAUAUUCCACUAACAGACUUGCUGCUGCUGUAGUUUUGUUAAGCUACUCUGAAUUAGUCUAAAUCGUUUAAUGCACAGCUCUCGUCAGAUUUUUGUUUUCAUCCUUUAACAUUCUCAAUCACAGCAUCAACUCGUAUACUUUUUUUACACUUGCAUUUGUCAUUCCUGAAACACUAUAUUGGUCCUCUUAGAAAAACAAAACUUUUCUUCAAAUUG
ensembl:lncRNA